rnacentral:rRNA from 1 species
UGGGGAAUAUUGCGCAAUGGGGGAAACCCUGACGCAGCGACGCCGCGUGCGGGAUGAAGGCCUUCGGGUUGUAAACCGCUUUUGAUUGGGAGCAAGCUUUCGGGUGAGUGUACCUUUCGAAUAAGCGCCGGCUAACUACGUGCCAGCAGCCGCGGUAAUACGUAGGGCGCAAGCGUUGUCCGGAAUUAUUGGGCGUAAAGCGCGCGCAGGUGGUUUAGAAAGUCUGAUGUGAAAGCCCACGGCUCAACCGUGGAGGGUCAUUGGAAGCUAAUAAACUUGAGUGCAGGAGAGAAAAGUGGAAUUCCUAGUGUAGCGGUGAAAUGCGUAGAGAUUAGGAGGAACACCGGUGGCGAAAGCGGCUUUUUGGCCUGCAACUGACACUGAGGCGCGAAAGCGUGGGGAGCAAACAGG